rnacentral:rRNA from 1 species
CCUACGGGUGGCAGCAGUGAGGAAUAUUGGGCAAUGGAGGCAACUCUGACCCAGCCAUGCCGCGUGAGUGAAGAAGGUCUUCGGAUUGUAAAGCUCUUUCGGAUGUGACGAUGAUGAUGGUAGUAUCUAAAGAAGCAGCGGCUAACUUCGUGCCAGCAGCCGCGGUAAUACGAAGGGGGCAAGCAUUGUUCGGAAGGACUGGGCGUAAAGGGAGCGUAGGCGGUUUAGUAAGAUAGUGGUGAAAUCCCAGGGCUUAACUUUGGAAUUGCCAUUAUAACUAUUAGACUAGAAUUACAGAGAGGAGAGUGGAAUACCCAGUGUAGCGGUGAAAUGCGUAGAUAUUAGGUAGAACACCAGUGGCGAAGGCGACUAUCUGGCUGUACAUUGACGCUGAGGCUCGAAAGCGUGGGGAGCAAACAGGAUUAGAUACCCGUGUAGUC